UCAUGGCUCAGGAUGAACGCUAGCUACAGGCUUAACACAUGCAAGUCGAGGGGCAGCAUAUCGAAAGCUUGCUUUGAUGAUGGCGACCGGCGCACGGGUGAGUAACGCGUAUCCAACCUUCCCUAUACUAGAGGAUAGCCCGGCGAAAGUCGGAUUAAUACUCUAUGUUCUUCGUAGAAGACAUCUGAAAUGAAGCAAAGGUUUACCGGUAUAGGAUGGGGAUGCGUCUGAUUAGGUUGUUGGCGGGGUAACGGCCCACCAAGCCCACGAUCAGUAGGGUUCUGAGAGGAAGGUCCCCCACAUUGGAACUGAGACACGGUCCAAACUCCUACGGGAGGCAGCAGUGAGGAAUAUUGGUCAAUGGACGAGAGUCUGAACCAGCCAAGUAGCGUGCAGGAUGACGGCCCUAUGGGUUGUAAACUGCUUUUAUACAGGGAUAAAGUGACGUACGUGUACGUUUUUGUAGGUACUGUAUGAAUAAGGACCGGCUAAUUCCGUGCCAGCCGCAGC
rnacentral:rRNA from 1 species